UACCCGCACCCCGAGUGGUCGGGACGUUUAUUGGGCCUAAAGCCUCCGUAGCCGGUUCUACAAGUCUUCCGUUAAAUCCACCUGCUUAACAGAUGGGCUGCGGAAGAUACUAUAGAGCUAGGAGGCGGGAGAGGCAAGCGGUACUCGAUGGGUAGGGGUAAAAUCCGCUGAUCCAUUGAAGACCACCAGUGGCGAAGGCGGCUUGCCAGAACGCGCGCGACGGUGAGGGAUGAAAGCUGGGGGAGCAAACCGG
rnacentral:rRNA from 1 species